UGCUUCUCUAUCUUCUCCAUAUUGUCACUGUAUUGUACUGUUGUACGAUUGGUAGGGAGGAUUUCUAUCUGGAUCAAAAUCCUCUACUGUGUUAGCUUCCCACAAGUUCUGGCAGAAGGGAGAGAGAUAUAUUGGAUUCAGUGGCUAAGUUAGUUAUCAAGAAGAAGAACUUCAUCAGAGGAUGACAUCAUAGCAUGAGCACAUAGGUGCCAUAUCAGCCUAAAUUGGUUUUGCGUAUGAUGAAUGGGUGUUUUCCUUUGGCUUUGAGAACUCGAGGAUAUCAAAUGCUUGAUUUCGGAAUUGAAUUUGAGGAUUGGU